AGAGUUUGAUCCUGGCUCAGGACGAACGCUGGCGGCACGCUUAACACAUGCAAGUCGAACGAGAGAAGAGGAGCUUGCUUUUCUGAUCUAGUGGCGGACGGGUGAGUAACACGUGAGCAAUCUGCCUUUCAGAGGGGGAUACCGAUUGGAAACGAUCGUUAAUACCGCAUAACAUAAUUGAACCGCAUGAUUUGAUUAUCAAAGAUUUAUCGCUGAAGGAUGAGCUCGCGUCUGAUUUGCUAGUUGGUAAGGUAACGGCUUACCAAGGCGACGAUCAGUAGCCGGACUGAGAGGUUGAUCGGCCACAUUGGGACUGAGACACGGCCCAGACUCCUACGGGAGGCAGCAGUGGGGAAUAUUGCACAAUGGAGGAAACUCUGAUGCAGCGAUGCCGCGUGAGGGAAGAAGGUUUUAGGAUUGUAAACCUCUGUCUUCAGGGACGAAAAAAGACGGUACCUGAGGAGGAAGCUCCGGCUAACUACGUGCCAGCAGCCGCGGUAAUACGUAGGGAGCGAGCGUUGUCCGGAAUUACUGGGUGUAAAGGGAGCGUAGGCGGGAUCGCAAGUCAGAUGUGAAAACUAUGGGCUUAACCCAUAAACUGCAUUCGAAACUGUGGUUCUUGAGUGAAGUAGAGGUAAGCGGAAUUCCUAGUGUAGCGGUGAAAUGCGUAGAUAUUAGGAGGAACAUCAGUGGCGAAGGCGGCUUACUGGGCUUUAACUGACGCUGAGGCUCGAAAGCGUGGGGAGCAAACAGGAUUAGAUACCCUGGUAGUCCACGCCGUAAACGAUGAUUACUAGGUGUGGGGGGACUGACCCCUUCCGUGCCGCAGCAAACGCAAUAAGUAAUCCACCUGGGGAGUACGACCGCAAGGUUGAAACUCAAAGGAAUUGACGGGGGCCCGCACAAGCAGUGGAGUAUGUGGAUUAAUUCGAAGCAACGCGAAGAACCUUACCAGGUCUUGACAUCGUAUGCAUAGCUCAGAGAUGAGUGAAAUCUCUUCGGAGACAUAUAGACAGGUGGUGCAUGGUUGUCGUCAGCUCGUGUCGUGAGAUGUUGGGUUAAGUCCCGCAACGAGCGCAACCCUUACUGUUAGUUGCUACGCAAGAGCACUCUAGCAGGACUGCCGUUGACAAAACGGAGGAAGGUGGGGAUGACGUCAAAUCAUCAUGCCCCUUAUGACCUGGGCCUCACACGUACUACAAUGGCUGUCAACAGAGGGAAGCAAAGCCGCGAGGUGGAGCGAACCCCUAAAAGCAGUCUUAGUUCGGAUUGUAGGCUGCAACCCGCCUACAUGAAGUCGGAAUUGCUAGUAAUCGCAGAUCAGCAUGCUGCGGUGAAUACGUUCCCGGGCCUUGUACACACCGCCCGUCACGCCAUGGGAGUCGGUAACACCCGAAGCCUGUAGUCUAACCGCAAGGAGGACGCAGUCGAAGGUGGGAUUGAUGACUGGGGUGAAGUCGUAACAAGGUA
rnacentral:rRNA from 1 species